rnacentral:misc_RNA from 1 species
GGUCUUCAGCUCCGAGACCUGGCCGGACUUGACGUUCCUCAGCCGGACGUGGGUCACGCCGGGCGGGCUGUCGGUGCCGCAGAUCUCCUCGAUGGCGGAGUCCCAGACGACCUCGACGUUCGGCUGCUUGAAGAGCCGGUCCUGCAGGA